rnacentral:misc_RNA from 1 species
GAAAGCUGCCACUUCUUGCAUUACGUUCCUGGUGGUUACAAUGUUGUGGCUCAAAUGAUGAAUCUUGCUCCUGUUGGUUCUCAACCAUCUAGAAACAUGGCUGCCCCACCUUCUGUCACCAAUGGCGGGUCCUCUGCUCCGUCCCAAGUCAAAACUCGCAUGUGCAACAAGUACAACACUGCCGAAGGCUGCAAGUUUGGUGAUAAAU